GCUGCUCGGCCCGGCCGCCGUCGGAGCUCCUCACGGAGCUGCCCGCCGGCACCGCGUAUUGCACCUGGGUCAUGGCAACCCUCGGCGUCAGUGCAAGCUGGGGGAUGUAAGGAUGGAGCACAGCCCUGCCAAAAUGGACCUGGGGGUGCUGGUGGAUGGCAGCUGGACAUGAGUCGGCACUGUGCCCUCACAGCCCAAAGCCAACCAUACCCUGGGCUGCAUCAAAAGCAGUGUUGUCAGCAGGGCGAGGGACAGGAUCUGCCCCUCUGCUGCUGGGGAGAGAGGAACUGUGUUGAGGAUGGGUUGAGCUGGCUGUCAGCAUAAAGGCAAGCCAUGAAGACAUGAGCAAGAAACCUGCAGGAACAGACUCUGAGCAAAAAUCUACUACUGUUUGUAACCCCCACAGGUAUUUUCAAGUACAGUGCUCAAAGGUGCACCCUUAGAAGGGAGCAGAGAUCUUGUAGGGUGUCCAUACAGGCACAGCACUUUGGAAGCGCAGUUGGCAUAGCAAGACAUGCAGAGGUGCAAAAGGUUUGCAAGGAAAGUGGCUCUCAUCCAGCCCAGCCUCCUCCAAGGGCAGUUGUUGGAGCAACUCCUUGUGGCCCACAGCCACUCUUUGAGUGCUUGGAACGCACCCUCACUUCUGCACAUCUGAAUUCACAGUGCCAGAGGGAAUGGUGGAACCUGGAGUUCUGCUCCUGCUUCUCUGUGGCCAGGUAUCAGUCCACAUAUGACAGACUGGCUGCAAAUUGGGUUUCCUGUAACUGUUACUAUUUGGGCUGCAGCAAUCCAGGGGAGAGAUGUGCAAUCUGCAAAUCAAACCAGCUUGCCUUGCCUAGUAAAAGAUCCAAAGGGGAAAGGAAUGGAUGGGAUUUUCAGAAGCCAGUGAUGCCAGCCAGCACUGCCACCUUCCCCUGGUGCAGUUCUUACACUAUUAGACAAGAUAGAUGUGAGACCAAGGAACAUCUCCUGGAAUUAAUUGGCUGUCGGUCUGGAAAUGUGACUCAAUGUUUGUUGGGACCUCCUUGAGAUCUGGAGGGAAAUCAAAGGGAUGAGAUCUGGAACACUAGACACUAGGGCUAGGUGGAGCUCAAAAUCCACGUUAGAUGUACAUCUCCGUUCCCUAUAGCUAUGCCUGAUAAUAGCACAAGACAGACCAGAGCAACGUGCUACCGAUCAUAUGUCUGCUUUCAUCACAGAUUUAAUGGGGCUAGAUAUAAUGAGCUCCCCAGCUACAAAGCAUUGUGCUGGACUGCUGGCCAGCAGUGAGGUCCCAUCCAGAGAAGAAAGGCGCAUCAGUCCAUAGGCUUUCAUAUGCAUGGCCUUAGACCAAAAGCUGUAACACUGUGUGCACAAGGGGGUAGUUAUUACAAGGGACGGAAACCUUUGUACUUCAGUGUCUUCCUAGCAAGAACACGAUGCCAGCUUUCAAAGCACGUAGGGAGAGGACACUCCUUGUCAGCACAACUUUACUUUAGAGAAGACUUGCUUUUUUGCUGUUUCAUUUGGAGCUGACUCUUUGCUCUUCUGUCAUGGGUACAGCGUAGACAGGAAAGAAGAGGAAGCAGUGGGAAUGACAGCGUUUACUUGCAGUAUGUUGUCCCCCUGGGCAAACAGCCUCACAGAAGCACAAAGUGGCUGGUAAAUAGAACAGGCAAAGCUGAAAAGGAAGUGUCUAGACUGCUUAUUAUUCUAGGUUCUUUCAGUUCUUGCAGAAAAUGCUUCCUGUUUAACCACUCUCUUCUCUCAUAUCCACAUAUUUAUAUAUGGUUUUAUGUACUUACAUGAAAACCAACCCAUCCCAAGCUGACCUAACUGGUUCUCAUUUGGAGGUGGUAGAAAGGGGGUGACUGUAAUUGCUGUCCAGCCUUGGGGAUGGCCAGUACAGGGAACCUGUAGGUGUCUUGAGAAACUGCUGUGCAGAAAUACAAGCUGAUGUAAAUCUGUAUCACUAAAUGAGUGCAAUGGAAAAAUGUACAUUUUGCAAAUAUGUUAGCAUUUGUACAAAACCUAGGAAAUGCCUUUUCCAAGGUUUGAGAAAUAAUUUUAAAUCCAGAAAGCUGACUACUCUGACCAGAUAUAUCUGUUGAAAGCUGAAGGGAUAGGCUGUGGGCACCCUGGGUGCUCUUUCAGCCUGUCCCACCAGGAGGUUGGAUUAGUCCAGCUCCAGAGCUCAAGCAUAUACACAGUUAUCUUCUAUUCCCAGCAAAUAGCUGGGAGCCUACAGCAUGGUCAGCAGCUUGAAAGGGAAGAUCCCAGUGGAGAAGCAGAGUGUAGGACUUCCUAUCACAACGUUCACCAUCAGAGCAUGCUAGUGUGCCUGCUUUCCAGCUGUGCUCCUGAGGUGUAUGGCCUAUUUUUAAAGGCUGCAAAAGGCAGCUGCUGAUCAUUCCGAAUACAUUGAACUGAGUAGCUCCUUUGGAGUCAGGCUCUGCUAGCUCACUCUCUUGGGGCAUAUAACUUCUUGAAACCUGCAAUGGCCAGGCCCACUGGCAGUCAGGGCAUGAGCUCCCUUGCCCCCUCUUAGCUCCAUGGCCAGCAGUCUGGCAGUUCAUUCUCUGUGGGCGGCCUUUUGCAUCACUGCACUGAUCCCAUGCCACUUGAAACCAGAUCUACCCAGCAACUGGGACCCGUUAUUCUCUCAAGAAGGUCUUCCAGGAUCUAAAAAUACCAAUCCAGCACAGUGGACACACGUCUGGAUCACUAGACAAGGCCUUUUCUCCUGCUACUAACAACACUGAAGCAGUGAAAAACUAAAAAAUGUCUACAUGCAAAGAAAGCACUUUCUGAGGAAUCCUCAGCCAUGGGCAGAAAAUACAGCCGCCCGCCCAACUCCGGCUCCGAAGUAAGAGAAUCCCCGUGUUGAGUGAGUGCAGGCGCUCGCCGGCUGACACAGCAUCCCCACGCAAUCACAAGGGUCUCUUUAUGGAGCAGCAAUGCGGGCACGCGGGGCCGAGGCCAGCCUAACCAAAUCAGCGGAGAAAAAUAAACAUCCUUGUCUUGGAAGUGCCUAGCACAAUUUCAUUAAGCCACACGAUGCCUGGGAAGGUGCCGGAUGUAUAUUUAUUGAAUUGAGCCCUAGGAGAAUAAAAGGGAAAAAGAA